UUAAUCUAAUACGCAAUGCACACCGUGCGUCACAAACCAGGAAGGCUACCGCUUCCUGGGCCUUCCUCCAUCAGGGUACUCAUAAAGAGGCUAAAGGCCAAAGUCAAGGGGAUAUUGCAGAUAUGCUAAACACAAUCAGAUACUUUUUUUUUCUUUUUUUGACAUGGGGUCUCUCUAUUCUGCCCAGGCUGUAGUGCAGUGGCGAAAUCUCGGCUCACUGCAACCUCCGCCUCCCAGGUUCAAGUGAUUCUCCUGCCUCAGCCUCCCGAGUAGCUAGGACUACAGGCGUGUGCCACCACACGCCACUAAUUUUUGAAGAUUCAGAACAAAAAUCUACAUUUUUACGUAAGAUAGCAUAGGCAAAAUGGGGCAGGGGAACAAUGAGAUAUUCAUUUGUGUUUGGUGGGCAGCAGGGUGACUGCAUCUGUAAAGAUAAUCUAUCCAUUUACAUUGCCAUGGUGAAAUUUUAACAGAAAUACCUUAAAAGAUCUUGCAGCUCACUAGGAAUUUCUUUGUGGGCAAA
rnacentral:lncRNA from 1 species